rnacentral:lncRNA from 1 species
UUCAAGGGAUAUUCGGAGAUUAGUUGAAUCCAACUCAAGAACAAAUUGUCAGAUUUUCCCUCUAAAAACCAAAAAUUUCAGUUCAAAAACUUCAAUGCAUUAAAAGGAAAUUCAGAGAAUCAAAACAAAGUUGAAUGCAUAUGUUGAGGGGGAGAAUCUGAAUUUUUAAGAAAGAUAAAUCAUUAAAUAUAUAUAAGCCAAACAAUUGAUUGUAUGAUAUGAAGGCUUAUAUAAUUCCAAAUGAAAGGGGGAGCUUUAAUUCCAAAAUUUAUUGUUUCACACCUUUCAAGAUUGGAUAAAUCAAAUAACCAGACACUUGAAUUCAUUUAUGGAUUUUAUUUCCUUGUUUAUUGAGCAAUUCACUUUACAUAUACUCAAUGUUUUGUCAUCAUCAAAAAGGGGGAGAUUGUGGAGUGAUUGAUCAUAAUCCUAUUUGAUUUUGAUGAGCUCAAAGCAUCUGAGUAUAUCUCUUGUUUACUAAUGAAUUCAAUUGAGUGUUUCAGUGAAAAUCUUGUCUAAAGUGUUUCUAGACUUGGUUCAUAAUAUUUUGGAUAAGUUAAGAAGUCAGUUUGAACCAAAGUCUGAGACUCGAGUCGACUCCGGAGUAUUACGAGUCGACUCCAAGCGU